rfam:Triticum aestivum genome assembly, contig: Triticum_aestivum_CS42_TGACv1_scaffold_158389_2DL
AUCUUUGCGCUUGGGGCAAUGACGCAGCUAGUGAGGUUAUACCGAGGCGCGUCAAUUGCUGGUUGAAAACUAUUUCCAAACCCCCUCUUUGGUCCUCCGAGGCCACUGAGAAUUUCUGAAAGGGCUCCUUCCCUUUGGGGAGGGCAAAGCC